rnacentral:rRNA from 1 species
AACGAACGCUGGCGGCGUGCUUAACACAUGCAAGUCGAACGAGAAACACGUCCUUCGGGAUAUGGAGUAAAGUGGCGCACGGGUGAGUAACACGUGGGUAACCUGCCCCAGGGACGGGGAUAACUGGCCGAAAGGCCCGCUAAUACCGGAUAAGACCACAUGAGCUCCGGCUCAAGGGGUCAAAGUCGGCCUCUCGAAGAAGCCGGCACCUUGGGAUGGGCCCGCGGACCAUUAGCUUGUUGGUAGGGUAACGGCCUACCAAGGCUGAGAUGGUUAGCUGGUCUGAGUGGAUGAUCGGCCACACUGGAACUGAGAUACGGUCCAGACACCUACGGGAGGUAGCAGUGAGGAAUAUUGCGCAAUGGGGGAAACCCUGACGCAGCAACGCCGCGUGGGUGAAGAAGGCUUUCGGGUUGUAAAGCCCUGUCAGGUGGGAAGAAACCACUUGAGGUGAAUAGCCUCAGGUGCUGACGGUACCACCGGAGGAAGCACCGGCUAACUCCGUGCCAGCAGCCGCCGUAAAAC